UACGGAGGAUGCAAGCGUUAUCCGGAAUGAUUGGGCGUAAAGCGUCCGCAGGUGGCGAUGUAAGUCUGCUGUUAAAGAGUGAGGCUCAACCUCAUAAGAGCAGUGGAAACUACAUAGCGUAGAGUGCGGUAGGGGCAGAGGGAAUUCCUGGUGUAGCGGUGAAAUGCGUAGAGAUCAGGAAGAACACCGGUGGCGAAAGCGGCUCUCUGGGACGGUACUGACGCUGAGACGCGAAAGCGUGGGGAGCGAACAGG
rnacentral:rRNA from 1 species